rnacentral:rRNA from 1 species
UACGUAGGGGGCUAGCGUUGUCCGGAAUCAUUGGGCGUAAAGAGCGCGUAGGCGGCUAGAUAAGUCCGGUGUGAAAGUCACAGGCUCAACCUGUGAAUGCCGCUGGAAACUGUCUGGCUAGAGUCCGGAAGGGGCGAGUGGAAUUCCUGGUGUAGCGGUGAAAUGCGCAGAUAUCAGGAGGAACACCGAUGGCGAAGGCAGAUCUCUGGGCCGUAACUGACGCUGAGGAGCGAAAGCAUGGGGAGCGAACAGG